CGAUGCCAGAGUUUCUGCCUAAUACCUGGUACACGUUUCUAUGAACCAAGGUGUCAAAGGAACCACAGGAGCCUGGAGCAUGCCCUUUUGGAAUUUCUUCCAUUGUACCUCAAAUGACUCAUGGCAAUAAAUGACUCUCUUCUCUUUUGUUGUUAAUCAAGGAAGAAUGGAAUGAACCACAUAAUGUUUGUAAAAGAGCAACCUUAAUUAGUUCCCAG
rnacentral:lncRNA from 1 species